rnacentral:rRNA from 1 species
GACGAACGCNGGCGGCGUGCUUAACACAUGCAAGUCGAACGAAGAGCGAUGGAAGCUUGCUUCUAUCAAUCUUAGUGGCGAACGGGUGAGUAACGCGUAAUCAACCUGCCCUUCAGAGGGGGACAACAGUUGGAAACGACUGCUAAUACCGCAUACGAUCUAACCUCGGCAUCGAGGAUAGAUGAAAGGUGGCCUCUACAUGUAAGCUAUCACUGAAGGAGGGGAUUGCGUCUGAUUAGCUAGUUGGAGGGGUAACGGCCCACCAAGGCGAUGAUCAGUAGCCGGUCUGAGAGGAUGAACGGCCACAUUGGGACUGAGACACGGCCCAGACUCCUACGGGAGGCAGCAGUGGGGAAUCUUCCGCAAUGGACGAAAGUCUGACGGAGCAACGCCGCGUGAGUGAUGACGGCCUUCGGGUUGUAAAGCUCUGUUAAUCGGGACGAAAGGCCUUCUUGCGAAUAGUNAGAAGGAUGA